rnacentral:rRNA from 1 species
AGUCCACGCCGUAAACGGUGGGCGCUAGUUGUGCGAACCUUCCACGGUUUGUGCGACGCAGCUAACGCAUUAAGCGCCCCGCCUGGGGAGUACGAUCGCAAGAUUAAAACUCAAAGGAAUUGACGGGGCCCCGCACAAGCAGCGGAGCAUGCGGCUUAAUUCGACGCAACGCGAAGAACCUUACCAAGGCUUGACAUAUACAGGAAUAUGGCAGAGAUGUCAUAGCCGCAAGGUCUGUAUACAGGUGGUGCAUGGUUGUCGUCAGCUCGUGUCGUGAGAUGUUGGGUUAAGUCCCGCAACGAGCGCAACCCUCGUUCUGUGUUGCCAGCAUUUAGUUGGGGACUCACAGGAGACUGCCGGGGUUAACUCGGAGGAAGGUGGGGAUGACGUCAAAUCAUCAUGCCCCUUAUGUCUUGGGCUGCACGCAUGCUACAAUGGCUGGUACAAACGGCUGCAAUACCGCAAGGUGGAGCGAAUCCGAGAAAGCCAGUCUCAGUUCGGAUUGGGGUCUGCAACUCGACCCCAUGAAGUCGGAGUUGCUAGUAAUCGUAGAUCAGCAACGCUACGGUGAUACGUUCCCGGGGCUUGUACACACCGCCCGUCACAUCACGAAAGUCGGUAACA